rnacentral:misc_RNA from 1 species
AAAAUAAAAUAAAAUAAAAUAAGACAAAAAGAGAUUAUUUUGGAUCAGAUUGGCCUACAUGGAUGGAGUUUCAACAAUGGUCUCCAAAGCAGGCUUCCAUGAUCCUUGCUUGGAGUAUCUCUCCACGAGCUUUGGCUGAUCAUCAUCAUCUUCAAUAUCAUCAGUGCAGGAGGUUGAACUUGAAGCAAUAUGAUCAAUUGUCUUGAUCUCUGAAGCCGUUGGAAAAAUGCAAAACUCACUAAGAACUGGGAAAAUCUUGGCCAAAUUAUUGUUCUUGAAAGCUUUGGUUGCUCUGCAGGAGAGAGAAGCCAUUUCCUCUUGUGUAAGAACUGAGUAGAGCAAGUCCAUAGGAAGAACAAAGUAGAGUUGGCGUCUCUCUAGCUCUUCAUCAGCUGAUAGGCCAUAAAUUCUUUGCCCAAUUUUGAGACUGUUGAAAUCACAGAUAAAUUUUCCAGGGUUUUCAAGCAUGAGCUCUGCUGCUUUUACUUGCUUUGUGUAGAUUUGCAAGGAACCAUUGGACAGCAGGACCUUUACAACUCCAUUGGAGAUGAUUGAAGGAGCACAAGAAGCUGCAUUACCCAUGAAUGUUGAGAGAAAGAGAGAGAUAUGGUUGAUGGAGUUUGUGGCAAUCAUGGAUUAUUUUUAAGUUGGAGAUGAGAUGGUAGUUAAGAAAAAGACAGAGAGAGGGUCCAUUUCUAA